GGUAUUUGCAUUUGUGAAAUCUGAAAAAUUCAAUGGUUCCCCACAGAGAGCAGAGUGUCAUGUCUGUGACAGCACUCUAGAGUUUGGUGCUAAGACUGAGCAAUCUGUGUCUAGACUUGGGAGAAAAUGGUAUAUGUCGUAUUUAUCUCGUGUCACGAAGAGGUAGAAGCCGGAGGUGGAUGUGAGCCAUCUGCAAUGCGUACACAACAUAACUGUUAAUAAAAGCAUGAUUCUUCUCUUCAAUUUUCAGUUCUUUUUUGCAGGAACUAAAUGGACUACUGGACUUGUUAUACUGUAGAAUGAUGUAACGAGACUCUUGAAAUUUAUGUAUAGAAGACUUGCUAUCUUAGUAUGAAAAAUAAAUGGUUAUAUUGCUUU